CAAGCACCUAAACCCAAGAACUGCUGUUUCUUGUAGCAGCGGUUUAAACAAAGGUGCUAACAAUAAGUGGACCUCGUCGCCUUUGGGGGGCUGCAUCCGUGUCCUUCAAAGUGAAUCUGGAGAUCCUACACUC
ensembl:snoRNA